rnacentral:rRNA from 1 species
CCGCGGUGAUACGGAGGGAGCUAGCGUUGUUCGGAAUUACUGAGCGUAAAGCGCGCGUAGGCGGCUACUCAAGUCAGGGGUGAAAGCCCGGGGCUCAACCCCGGAACUGCCUUUGAAACUAGGUAGCUAGAAUCUUGGAGAGGCGAGUGGAAUUCCGAGUGUAGAGGUGAAAUUCGUAGAUAUUCGGAAGAACACCAGUGGCGAAGGCGACUCGCUGGACAAGUAUUGACGCUGAGGUGCGAAAGCGUGGGGAGCAAACAGG